rnacentral:rRNA from 1 species
GAUGGACGCUGGCGGCGUGCCUAAUACAUGCAAGUCGAGCGAACAGACGAGGAGCUUGCUCCUCUGACGUUAGCGGCGGACGGGUGAGUAACACGUGGAUAACCUACCUAUAAGACUGGGAUAAAUUCGGGAAACCGGAGCUAAUACCGGAUAAUAUAUUGAACCGCAUGGUUCAAUAGUGAAAGACGGUUUUGCUUUCACUUAUAGAUGGAUCCGCGCCGCAUUAGCUAGUUGGUAAGGUAACGGCUUACCAAGGCAACGAUGCGUAGCCGACCUGAGAGGGUGAUCGGCCACACUGGAACUGAGACACGGUCCAGACUCCUACGGGAGGCAGCAGUAGGGAAUCUUCCGCAAUGGGCGAAAGCCUGACGGAGCAACGCCGCGUGAGUGAUGAAGGUCUUCGGAUCGUAAAACUCUGUUAUUAGGGAAGAACAAAUGUGUAAGUAACUAUGCACGUCUUGACGGUACCUAAUCAGAAAGCCACGGCUAACUACGUG